GUAGGUAACUUCUUUCUGGCCUAA
rnacentral:siRNA from 1 species